rnacentral:rRNA from 1 species
AAGCUCGUAGUUGAAUUUCGAGAUCAGUACGCUGGUCGUGCCUUUGGUAUGCACUGGUGUCACUGGUUUCUCCCUUCUGAAGAACUGUCAUGCCAUUCAGUUGGUGUGGCGGGGAAUCAGGACUGUUACUUUGAAAAAAUUAGAGUGUUUAAAGCAGGCUCGCGCUUGAAUACAUUAGCAUGGAAUAAUGAAAUAGGACGUUUGACCCUAUUUUGUUGGUUUCUAGGAUCGACGUAAUGAUUAAUAGGGAUAGUUGGG